UCUUCUUCUUCGUUCUAGGGUUUGUGUGGAUGCAUGCGCCAUUGUCGAGGAAACAAUGUCGCAUUUCGGACGUGCCGGCCCGCCCGACAUACGGGAUACGUACUCGCUUCUCGUCCUCAACAUCACAUUCAGAACUACCGCCGAUGAUCUCUACCCUCUCUUCGAUCGCUACGGCAAAGUUGUGGACAUUUUCAUCCCCAGAGAUCGCAGGUCUGGUGAGUCACGAGGAUUCGCAUUUGUACGCUACAAGCAUGUGGAUGAAGCACAAAAGGCGAUCGAUAGACUGGACGGUAAGAAUCUGAACGGACGUAACAUCAUGGUUCAGUUUGCAAAAUAUGACAAGAACUCUGAAUCAACAUGUUGUGGAAGAAUAACAACGUCCAUAUACAGCAGGUCACGGAGUCGGAGCCCGAGACGACCAAGUCGAUACAGGGAAGAGUAUGGACGAGGGAGGGAUUAUCGCGACAACUUCCGCGGAAGAGACAGAUACGAGCGCGAACGAAGCCGGGACGAUCACUUUUAUGAGCACGAUCGCAUCAGAGACAGAUACGAGCGUAGAGAUAGGCACGAACGUGACUACAGGCAUCAACAUGAACGAAGCCGGGACUCACACGACGUUGGUCGGAGCAAAGAAAGAUACGAGCGGGAUCGCUUUGAUGCCGAGGUUGGAAGAGGCGGCCGAAGUAGGAGCCGGAGCAGGGACCGCUAUGCAGAAGAUGAUCAUCGCGAGGAAAGAGGAAGGCCCGUCGAACGUACUAACUCGUCACCAGCACCACUAAGUCCUGCUCCAGCUCGGUUAUCGAGUCCUGUCCGAGAAACAGCGUUGGGAUCACCAAGGCCAGUGACGGCGGCGAACAGAGACGCAAGUCCUUUGGAGCAAGCAAGGAAAAGCGAGCGGUCUCCAGUCCGAAGUUUGUCGCCAGAGAAAAGCUACUCCAAUGGAAAGCGUGAAGGUUCUCCAGGACCAGUAAGUCCCGCUGGCAUCGGCGUCGAUAUCCAGAGCCCCUACAACACCGACCCCGAUGAGUCAUAAUCUCGAUGCCUACGAGACGCUGUCCUUCUAGUUGUGGUAGUCAUUUAGUCGUCGGAAUGACACUUUUGAAGCAUCUAAUUUUGUGCUGGGUUUUAAAUAGUCUGCUGGUGGCUGUGGUGGUGGGUUCCAAGGGGACUUUGGUGCUGCACGGUGGAAACCUGUGCUGUUUAGAAUUACUGGUUGCAUAGUUGGUGUUUGCAGGACAUUUGUUGCAGCAUAGGUUUUCUUUGCACAUAAUGAUGUAGUGGUGACAUUGUCACUCGCUCCAAAACAAGCACUCCAUAUGCUCUUCUGUUGACCAAUUUCUCAACUCAACUGGCGUAAGUUUAAAUGGUGUUGUUCUGGAUUCAAA